UACGUAGGGGGCUAGCGUUGUCCGGAAUCAUUGGGCGUAAAGAGCGUGUAGGCGGCUCGAUAAGUCCGCUGUGAAAGUCCAGGGCUCAACCCUGGGAUGCCGGUGGAUACUGUCGGGCUCGAGUCCGGAAGAGGCGAGUGGAAUUCCUGGUGUAGCGGUGAAAUGCGCAGAUAUCAGGAGGAACACCAAUGGCGAAGGCAGCUCGCUGGGACGUGACUGACGCUGAGACGCGAAAGCCAGGGGAGCAAACGGG
rnacentral:rRNA from 1 species